AUCUACCUAGUAGUAUAGGAUAGCCACUAGAAAUGGUGGGUAAUACUGUAUAAUCCCUGCGGGGGAAAGAUUUAUCGCUACAUGAUGAGCCUAUGUUAGAUUAGCUAGUUGGUGGGGUAAUGGCCUACCAAGGCAGUGAUCUAUAGCUGGUCUGAGAGGAUGAUCAGCCACACUGGAACUGAGACACGGUCCAGACUCCUACGGGAGGCAGCAGUGGGGAAUAUUGGACAAUGGGCGCAAGCCUGAUCCAGCUAUGCCGCGUGAGUGAGGAAGGCCUUAGGGUUGUAAAACUCUUUCAGUAGGGAAGAUAAUGACGGUA
rnacentral:rRNA from 1 species